rnacentral:rRNA from 1 species
UACGAAGGGGGCUAGCGUUGCUCGGAAUCACUGGGCGUAAAGCGCACGUAGGCGGCUUUUUAAGUCAGGGGUGAAAUCCUGGAGCUCAACUCCAGAACUGCCUUUGAUACUGAGAAGCUUGAGUCCGGGAGAGGUGAGAGGAACUGCGAGUGUAGAGGUGAAAUUCGUAGAUAUUCGCAAGAACACCAGUGGCGAAGGCGGCUCACUGGCCCGGUACUGACGCUGAGGUGCGAAAGCGUGGGGAGCGAACAGG